rnacentral:rRNA from 1 species
UACCAGCACCCCGAGUGGUCGGGACGAUUAUUGGGCCUAAAGCAUCCGUAGCCGGUUUUACAAGUCCUCCGUUAAAUCCACCUGCUUAACAGAUGGGCUGCGGAAGAUACUAUAGAGCUAGGAGGCGGGAGAGGCAAGCGGUACUCGAUGGGUAGGGGUAAAAUCCGUUGAUCCAUUGAAGACCACCAGUGGCGAAGGCGGCUUGCCAGAACGCGCUCGACGGUGAGGGAUGAAAGCUGGGGGAGCAAACCGG